UGGGGAAUAUUGCACAAUGGGCGGAAGCCUGAUGCAGCGACGCCGCGUGAGGGAUGACGGCCUUCGGGUUGUAAACCUCUUUCAGCAGGGACGAAGCGAGAGUGACGGUACCUGCAGAAGAAGCACCGGCCAACUACGUGCCAGCAGCCGCGGUAAGACGUAGGGUGCAAGCGUUGUCCGGAAUUAUUGGGCGUAAAGAGCUCGUAGGCGGCUUGUCGCGUCGACCGUGAAAACUUGGGGCUCAACCCCAAGCCUGCGGUCGAUACGGGCAGGCUAGAGUUCGGUAGGGGAGACUGGAAUUCCUGGUGUAGCGGUGAAAUGCGCAGAUAUCAGGAGGAACACCGGUGGCGAAGGCGGGUCUCUGGGCCGAUACUGACGCUGAGGAGCGAAAGCGUGGGGAGCGAA
rnacentral:rRNA from 1 species